rnacentral:rRNA from 1 species
AGAGUUUGAUUCUGGCUCAGAACGAACGCUGGCAGCGUGGAUUAGGCAUGCAAGUCGAACGGGAAGCCGUUGAUCAAUUCUUCGGAAGAGUGAUUCGGUGGAGAGUGGCGGAAGGGUGAGUAACGCGUGGGCAAUCUACCUCCAAGUUGGGGAUAAUUCCGCGAAAGCGGGACUAAUACCGAAUGUGGUCGUAUGUCGCAUGGCAGACUGACUAAUGGUGGGGAUCCUUCGGGACCUGCCGCUGGGAGAGGAGCCCGCCUGCCAUCAGCUUGUUGGUGAGGUAACGGCCCACCAAGGCUUACGGCUAGCUGGUCUGAGAGGAUGAUCAGCCACACUGGGACUGAGACACUGCCCAGACUCCUACGGGAGGCUGCAGUCGAGGAUCAUUGUCAAUGCGCGGAAGCGUGAACAUGCGACGCUGCGUGGAGGAUGACGGCUUUCGGGUUGUAAACUCCUGUCAUGAGGGAAAAACGAUCCUGCAAUCAAUAUCUGCGGGAAGUGAUGGUACCUCAAGAGGAAGCCACGGCUAACUCUGUGCCAGCAGCCGCGGUAAUACAGAGGUGGCGAGCGUUGUUCGGAUUUACUGGGCGUAAAGGGUGCGUAGGCGGCUUCGUGUGUCGGAUGUGAAAUCCCACGGCCCAACCGUGGAACUGUGUUCGAAACUGCGGAGAUAGAGUGCAGGAGAGGAGAGCGGAAUUCUCGGUGUAGCGGUGAAAUGCGUUGAUAUCAAGAAGAACACCGGUGGCGAAAGCGGCUCUCUGGAAUGUUACUGACGCUGAGGCACGAAAGCUGGGGGAGCGAACAGGAUUAGAUACCCUGGUAGUCCCAGCUGUAAACGGUGUGCACUUGGUGUGGGAGGUAUUGACCCCUUCCGUGCCGGAGCUAACGCGUUAAGUGCACCGCCUGGGGAGUACGGCCGCAAGGCUAAAACUCAAAGAAAUUGACGGGGGCCCGCACAAGCGGAGGAGCAUGUGGCUUAAUUCGAUGCAACGCGAAGAACCUUACCAGGGCUUGACAUCUACCUGCAUGCCCCCUGAAAGGGGGGAGGCCUUCGAGGGUGGUAGACAGGUGCUGCAUGGCUGUCGUCAGUUCGUGCCGUGAGGUGUUGGGUUAAGUCCCGCAACGAACGCAACCCUUGUGGUUAGUUGCAACUGCAGGUGAUAAGCCUGCGGGCACUCUAGCCAGACUGCCUGUACAAGCAGGAGGAAGGUGGGGAUGACGUCAAGUCAGUAUGGCCCUUACGCCCUGGGCUGCACACGUGCUACAAUGGUCGGUACAGAAGGAUGCAAUACCGCGAGGUGGAGCUAAUCCCCAAAACCGGCCCCAGUUCGGAUUGGAGUCUGAAACUCGACUCCAUGAAGCCGGAUUCGCUAGUAACGGCGUAUCAGCUACGGCGCCGUGAAUACGUUCCCGGGCCUUGUACACACCGCCCGUCACAUCAUGAAAGCCGUCUGCACCCGAAGUCGCUGAGCCAAUCCCGCC